UACGUAGGGGGCAAGCGUUGUCCGGAAUCAUUGGGCGUAGAGCGCGCGUAGGUGGCCAAGUAAGUCCGCUGUGAAAGUCAAAGGCUCAACCUUUGAAAGCCGGUGGAUACUGCAUGGCUAGAGUACGGAAGAGGCGAGUGGAAUUCCUGGUGUAGCGGUGGAAUGCGCAGAUAUCAGGAGGAACACCAAUAGCGAAGGCAGCUCGCUGGGACGUUACUGACACUGAUGCGCGAAAGCCAGGGGAGCGAACGGG
rnacentral:rRNA from 1 species